GUGUCAGCAGCCGCGGUAAUACGGAGGGUGCGAGCGUUAAUCGGAAUCACUGGGCGUAAAGGGCGCGUAGGCGGUGGGUUACGUCUGCCGUGAAAUCCCCGGGCUCAACCUGGGAAUGGCGGUGGAAACGGGCUGACUAGAGUAUGGGAGAGGGUGAUGGAAUUCCAGGUGUAGCGGUGAAAUGCGUAGAGAUCUGGAGGAACAUCAGUGGCGAAGGCGGUCACCUGGCCCAAUACUGACGCUGAGGCGCGAAAGCGUGGGGAGCAAACAGGAUUAGAUACCCUGGUAGUCCACGCCCUAAACGAUGGAUACUAGAUGUUUGGUGCCUUAGGUGCUGAGUGUCGUAGCUAACGUGAUAAGUAUCCCGCCUGGGAAGUACGGCCGCAAGGUUAAA
rnacentral:rRNA from 1 species